rnacentral:rRNA from 1 species
AAUAUUGGACAAUGGGCGAAAGCCUGAUCCAGCCAUGCCGCGUGUGUGAAGAAGGUCUUCGGAUUGUAAAGCACUUUAAGUUGGGAGGAAGAGUUGUAGGCUAAUACCUUGCAAUUUUGACGUUACCAACAGAAUAAGCCCUGGCUAACGUCGUGCCAGCAGCCGCGGUAAUACGAAGGGUGCAAGCGUUAAUCGUAAUUACUGGGCGUAAAGAGCGCGUAGGUGGUUUGUUAAGUUGGAAGUGAAAGCCACGGGCUCAACCUGGGAACUGCUUUCAAAACUGGCAAGCUAGAGUAUGGCAGAGGAUGAUGGAAUUUCCUGUGUAGCGGUGAAAUGCGUAGAUAUAGGAAGGAACAUCAGUGGCGAAGGCGACUACCUGGACUGAUACUGACACUGAGGUGCGAAAGCGUGGGGAGCAAACAGG